GACGAACGCUGGCGGCGUGCUUAACACAUGCAAGUCGAACGGAAAGGCCCUGCUUGCAGGGUGCUCGAGUGGCGAACGGGUGAGUAACACGUGGGUGAUCUGCCCCUUACUUUGGGAUAAGCCUGGGAAACUGGGUCUAAUACUGGAUAGGACCAUGCUGUAUGUGGUGUGGUGGAAAGAUUAGUUUCGGUAAGGGAUGAGCUCGCGGCCUAUCAGCUUGUUGGUGGGGUAAUGGCCUACCAAGGCGUCGACGGGUAGCCGGCCUGAGAGGGUGGACGGCCACAUUGGGACUGAGAUACGGCCCAGACUCCUACGGGAGGCAGCAGUGGGGAAUAUUGCACAAUGGGCGCAAGCCUGAUGCAGCGACGCCGCGUGGGGGAUGAUGGCCUUCGGGUUGUAAACUCCUUUCAGCCAUGACGAAGCCCUUGUGGUGACGGUAGUGGUAGAAGAAGCACCGGCUAACUACGUG
rnacentral:rRNA from 1 species